UUUGUGGAAUUCAUUUGAACCAAACAUAGGUGUAUCAGGUUUGUUCAAUUCAGCUAGUCACAUGACAAAAAAAAUGCUCUAAUUCUUCCUUGAAUUGCAGAAGCACACAACCACAAAAUUGGAAAAAGUAUAUCAUAUAUUAGAACAGAAAAAUAGUACAGUUGGCCAUCUGUUUGGAAUUGGAGCAACCUUUAUCUUCUCUUAUAUAGGUCGUCACUUUUGAAAGGUUUUAGCAUCUAAACUAUAAAAAGCAGAGUAGCGGACUCCAUAUUAAUCCCAACUUUCAGGCAAUGAAUACGAACUCAAGUAACUCAUAGACCGCUUGAUGCAUUAACAAAAUCUCAUGGGGAAAAAAAAAAAAGAAACAACAUACAGGUUAACCUAAGCAUUUUCCUGUUCCAUCUGACAACAAAAUCUAGACUUUUACAGCCUCAUUGAGAUAGCAAGAUCCUGUCACCUAUAUCAAAAUCACAACUUAACAAGAAUUUGAAAAAAUCACUUCACAAACAAAACCAAAUGCAUAAAAACAAAACUUUUCAAUUGCAUGAAAGCAAAGUUCACAAAAGAUUAGCAAAAUUAAGAAAUAAGAUUACUCACCACAAAUGCUCAUAAAUUCCAUAAUUAAUAAUUUAUAGUGUAAAGCUUAAUGUUAAAGCAGCAACAUUAUCAACAAUCAAAUUCAACACAAGUCUACAUAAAGAGAACAGAACCACAAUAACCCAAUUUAAAAACAAAAAUUGUUACAGAGUCUAGAAGUAAACUUUUAACAAUUGCUGGAAAAUGGCCCAAAAUUCCUAUUCAAUAAAAGUCUUCAAUGAAAUAAAAAAAUAACUAGAAUUCCAAUUCAAAACACAUAGAAUCAAAAGGUAACACCAAACAGACGCAAAAUCCAAAAGCUAAGAGUUGGAAAAUGGGAAUCAAAUGUUUAUCAGGAUUCAGGAUUUCAACCACCUAUUUAAACCAGAAAGCCAGAGACCAUAAAACCCAAUCAAUUUCAAUUCCAUUUCGACAAGAAGCAUAGGAUUAACACAAAAUAAAAACGCUCAAAACUAGUUAUAGAUAUGAAUACAGAACUAAAAACGCUUCAAAAUUGAAAAAGAGGUAAUCAAAUUUUGCCCUACCCAUUUGAACUAACAACCCAUAAGCCCACAAAAACUUCAAGAUUUCCACUUUACUUCCAAUUGCAACCACAACACAUUCAAAAACAGUAUAAAUAAAAAAAAUUUUAGAAAAGAAAGCCCUCGAUUCAUAAAAAAUAAGAACAAAUAUUAGAACUUGGUGAUUCAAAUUGAAUAAACGAAUAUAAAACGAAUUAAACCUCAAUAUCACCAAGAAGAAGGCCCAUAAUCUCCUCAGUCUCUGUAGACAAUGCAUGGGUGAGGCACGUUAACCAGACAUCAUCAGACAUUUUAACGCUUGUUAGAGACAUAUUGAAAAUCCGAUAAGCCUGAGAUUUCCGAAGAGAUCUUUGAGCUUUCUCUUUUAUCUGCGUGGGUUUUGGAGAAGAGUCCUGACUCUGAACUCCUGAGCGAUGGAUCUCAAAUCAAAGGGUCUCUGCAGAGUUAAUAGGGUGCAGUUGAUUGUAGUUUGAGGUCGUACUAGUAU
rnacentral:misc_RNA from 1 species